GAUGAACGCUGGCGGCGUGCCUAAUACAUGCAAGUCGAGCGAAUGGAUUGAGAGCUUGCUCUCGAGAAGUUAGCGGCGGACGGGUGAGUAACACGUGGGUAACCUGCCCAUAAGACUGGGAUAACUCCGGGAAACCGGGGCUAAUACCGGAUAACAUUUUGAACCGCAUGGUUCGAAAUUGAAAGGCGGCUUCGGCUGUCACUUAUGGAUGGACCCGCGUCGCAUUAGCUAGUUGGUGAGGUAACGGCUCACCAAGGCAACGAUGCGUAGCCGACCGGAGAGGGUGAUCGGCCACACUGGGACUGAGACACGGCCCAGACUCAUACGGGAGGAAGCAGUAGGGAAUCUUCCGCAAUGGACGAAAGUCUGACGGAGCAACGCCGCGUGAGUGAUGAAGGCUUUCGGGUCGUAAAACUCUGUUGUUAGGGAAGAACAAGUGCUAGUUGAAUAGGCUGGCACCUUGACGGUACCUAACCAGAAAGCCACGGCUAACUACGUGCCAGCAGCCGCCGUAAUAC
rnacentral:rRNA from 1 species